AAAAAGACAAACUCUGGUUUCCGUGUCUAACUUUGAUUGUCCAUCUUAUAUAAAAUUUUUUUAUAAUUCGUAUUUUCAUUGUUGUUAGAUGAUAAAACAUGAUUAAUAUUUUAUACGUGACUUGUCUUUUUAAUUUUUUUUUAUAAUUUUUUUAAAUAAGACGGACGGUCAAACGUUGGACACGGAAACCAGGGUUUGUCUUUUU
rnacentral:pre_miRNA from 1 species